rnacentral:rRNA from 1 species
AACUGAAGAGUUUGAUCAUGGCUCAGAUUGAACGCUGGCGGCAGGCUUAACACAUGCAAGUCGAGCGGGGGAAGGUAGCUUGCUACUGGACCUAGCGGCGGACGGGUGAGUAAUGCUUAGGAAUCUGCCUAUUAGUGGGGGACAACAUCUCGAAAGGGAUGCUAAUACCGCAUACGUCCUACGGGAGAAAGCAGGGGAUCUUCGGACCUUGCGCUAAUAGAUGAGCCUAAGUCGGAUUAGCUAGUUGGUGGGGUAAAGGCCUACCAAGGCGACGAUCUGUAGCGGGUCUGAGAGGAUGAUCCGCCACACUGGGACUGAGACACGGCCCAGACUCCUACGGGAGGCAGCAGUGGGGAAUAUUGGACAAUGGGGGGAACCCUGAUCCAGCCAUGCCGCGUGUGUGAAGAAGGCCUUAUGGUUGUAAAGCACUUUAAGCGAGGAGGAGGCUACUUUAGUUAAUACCUAGAGAUAGUGGACGUUACUCGCAGAAUAAGCACCGGCUAACUCUGUGCCAGCAGCCGCGGUAAUACAGAGGGUGCGAGCGUUGAUCGGAUUUACUGGGCGUAAAGCGUGCGUAGGCGGCUUAUUAAGUCGGAUGUGAAAUCCCCGAGCUUAACUUGGGAAUUGCAUUCGAUACUGGUGAGCUAGAGUAUGGGAGAGGAUGGUAGAAUUCCAGGUGUAGCGGUGAAAUGCGUAGAGAUCUGGAGGAAUACCGAUGGCGAAGGCAGCCAUCUGGCCUAAUACUGACGCUGAGGUACGAAAGCAUGGGGAGCAAACAGGAUUAGAUACCCUGGUAGUCCAUGCUGUAAACGAUGUCUACUAGCCGUUGGGGCCUUUGAGGCUUUAGUGGCGCAGCUAACGCGAUAAGUAGACCGCCUGGGGAGUACGGUCGCAAGACUAAAACUCAAAUGAAUUGACGGGGGCCCGCACAAGCGGUGGAGCAUGUGGUUUAAUUCGAUGCAACGCGAAGAACCUUACCUGGCCUUGACAUACUAGAAACUUUCCAGAGAUGGAUUGGUGCCUUCGGGAAUCUAGAUACAGGUGCUGCAUGGCUGUCGUCAG